GUAGGUGGCAAGCGUUGUCCGGAAUUAUUGGGGCGUAAAAGCGCGCGCAGGCGGUUCUUUAAGUCUGAUGUGAAAGCCCACGGGCUCAACCGUGGAGGGUCAUUGGAAACUGGAGAACUUGAGUACAGAAGAGGAAAGCGGAAUUCCACGUGUAGCGGUGAAAUGCGUAGAGAUGUGGAGGAACACCAGUGGCGAAGGCGGCUUUCUGGUCUGUAACUGACGCUGAGGCGCGAAAGCGUGGGGAGCAAACAGGAUUAGAUACCCUGGUAGUCCACGCCGUAAACGAUGAGUGCUAAGUGUUAGGGGGUUUCCGCCCCUUAGUGCUGUUUUUUUUCAGCUAACGCAUUAAGCACUCCGCCUGGGGAGUACGGCCGCAAAGGCUGA
rnacentral:rRNA from 1 species